CACAAAGCGAAACUUGUUUUGCAAAGUGCCAUUCAAAUACUCGCUGUAGUCUGAAUCUUGGCCCAUCUAAUGACUUCAUUUCUGUUGUUGUUUCACAAGGCAUCAAAUCCGAAGGCGACAAAAUGUUUACCACCGUCAUUUUUUGCCCCCCCUUUCGGCAGUCAGCAAGGUCGAAACCGUAAACGAGCCAUUCAGAGACUUGAGGCUUUAAUUAAUCGUUGUAUCGCCAACAACUCUGAUUAACCGAACCGAACCGAACCGAAAUACUAAAAUACUGCCCCCGAGGCAGCUCAAUCUCGUUAAUUGAUAUGCAAAAUCAAAUGGCCACUAAAUGGUGCGAACCAAAGAAUUACGCAGAAGUGCCGGGCCAGGUGAAGGUUUCGCGGGUUAUCCAAGGAAUCCAGGCCACAGUUCGUUGAACUCGCAGAGGGGAGUGUCACAAGUCAUUACGCACAAUAAAACAAAAGUUAAUUGAAUAGCCUAAAUCUGCA